CGAUGACGACAACGAACGGCCGCUCAUACGAAGCGCGAAUCAAUUGUAUUAUUCCUCAAUGAGCGUGACAAUGAAGCAGCCGGUCGUUCGAUAUUUCGAGAUUGUCUCACGAUUACGGAGUUGCUCUUGACCUGACGCGAAGAAUCAUGUGAGAUCUUCCAUAGACGCGGGUAUUUCAUGAACGAGAAUAUUUAUGUCCAUAAUAUUGCGAGAGAUGCAAGGAUACUUUGUCUAUAAUUACUCACUCAAUUAUUAGAUAACGUUGGAGAAUACGUACACUUGGAGAAAGACCAGAGUUGGGAAGUGACGCGUUACUGCACAAAAAUAAUUUUCCCAACCUUGAGAAAAGCAUAACUGCUCGUUUAUAGACUUAUAUCUAAGAAAUCUCAAAGAGAACAUAAAUUUCAAGAUUAAAAAUCGAAUUUUUGAAUAAGUGAAUCUUUAUUACAAUCACCAUGCGGGUGAGGGGAUACAUUCUUUACAUAUACAAUUUUACACUUUUCCAUUCGAGAUACAUAUCUAAAACUUUUCCGAAAAAUCGAAGAGGCAAUAUUUCAUAUUAAAAAGUUUAUAAAUUUCCUUUGGACCAAUAAGGUCCACCAAUGAUUGCGUAUCUAAUGCGUAAAAUAGCUAAACGCUGCAGCUUGCGCAUAAUCAGUGCAGAGAGCGUAUUAUAUCUUAAUGGCUGG